UCUGCACAUGAGAAGAGCUGAGAAGACUAUCCUGGUUAUAGGGCUGAGGGAACUUUGAAGAUGAAGCUAUCCCUCAAUGUCUUCUUCUUUGGAUGGUGUUUGGCCAGGCAGUGUUGGAUUUCUAGAGGUCAAAUUCCUUCCACACCUUUGCUAUCUACCAACAUCAGUGGGAUGGCUGCUUUGGGAGAAGAUAUCACCUUCUUCUGCAGAAGCCAGG